ACAGAUGGAGAACACUCUUGACAAUAAAGGAAUGAAAUUUGAACAUUUCUUCUAGACUGGGUCCUGCUCAGGAGACGGCCAGCUGUGGAGGCCAUGUGAGAAGUUGAAAGGAAACUUCAGCUGCCCUGCGAAUCUCACACCAUUACUCAGGAUGAAUCAAAAGAGGAACACUUUGGUUGAACAAAAGGAAAGCGGGAGAGGAAGAGAGAGUGAACGAAAAAGUGAAACCAGCUGUCCAUCUACUUGUUCAGCUGCUGCAGCCUGAACGGAAAUACCAGCUCUCAGCUUACAGACCAAAAAGGUCACAUAGCCAUGCCAGAGAGCUGGUGAUGUUGCAGUACAUUCAUCAAUGGAAAAGCUCCCGUUUAACUGAGAUGAACUGAGUGAACUGGAGUGAGGGGGGGGGCAGCGAUAGCACUUGGCACGCUUGCCUGUUCCACUUCAGCUUGAUCCAUGUGUUGUGAUGCCUGCAGUGUCCUGGUUUGGCCCUCCACCGCCGAAUGACCAACAGUGAAUGGCUGUGUGCAUUUUCCACCCUCCUCCCUCUGCCCUCCUUUCUCCGGUUCCAUGACCCCCUGCACCAGCUCCCACUCCAGUCCUGGAGGAGUCACUGACAUUCCCAGAGCCAGAUUCAAGGUUUACUUCAGGGUGAAGAGGAGGACUGGGACCUGCACACACCACCUCCAGUACUUCAAUCACACAUCGAGCAACACAGCAGGCAAAGGAAG